rnacentral:lncRNA from 1 species
GCUAUAAUUAGGAAGAUUGCAUGCGUUCGUUGCGAAAAAAUCCACCCGAGUUUCGCUACCCGGCAAUAGUGCAUUCGGGUGCCGAAAUGCACCCGUUUUGCAUCGUUUUUCGUGCCGGAACCGAAUGCCCAAAAACACUCCCAAACAUGUUCUAGGGUCUAAUUAGGAAGAUUGCAUGCGUUCGUUGCGAAAAAAUCCACCCGAGUUUCGCUACCCGGAAAUAGUGCAUUCGGGUGCCGAAAUGCACCCGUUUUGCAUCAUUUUUCGUGCCGGAACCGAAUGCCCAAAAACACUCCCAAACAUGUUCUAGUGCAUAUUAGGAAGAUUGCAUGCGUUCGUUGCGAAAAAAUCCACCCGAGUUUCGCUACCCGGAAAUAGUGCAUUCGGGUGCCGAAAUGCACCCGUUUUGCAUCGUUUUUCAUGCCGGAACCGAAUGCCAAAAACACUCCCAAACAUGUUCUAGUGCUAUAUUAGGAAGAUUGCAUGCGUUCGUUGCGAAAAAAUCCACCCGAGUUUCGCUACCCGGAAAUAGUGCAUUCGGGUGCCGAAAUGCACCCGUUUUGCAUCGUUUUUCGUGCCGGAACCGAAUGCCAAAAACACUCCCAAACAUGUUCUAGUGUCAUAUUAGGAAGAUUGCAUGCGUUCGUUGCGAAAAAAUCCACCCGAGUUUCGCUACCCGGCAAUAGUGCAUUCGGGUGCCGAAAUGCACCCGUUUUGCAUCAGUUUUUCGUGCCGGAACCGAAUGCCCAAAAACACUCCCAAACAUGUUCUAGUGUAUAAUUAGGAAGAUUGCAUGCGUUCGUUGCGAAAAAAUCCACCCGAGUUUCGCUACCCGGCAAUAGUGCAUUCGGGUGCCGAAAUGCACCCGUUUUGCAUCAUUUUUCGUGCCGGAACCGAAUGCCCAAAAACACUCCCAAACAUGUUCUAGUGCAUAUUUAGGAAGAUUGCAUGCGUUCGUUGCGAAAAAAUCCACCCGAGUUUCGCUACCCGGCAAUAGUGCAUUCGGGUGCCGAAAUGCACCCGUUUUGCAUCGUUUUUCGUGCCGGAACCGAAUGCCUCAAAAACACUCCCAAACAUGUUCUAGUGUAUAAUUAGGAAGAUUGCAUGCGUUCGUUGCGAAAAAAUCCACCCGAGUUUCGCUACCCGGCAAUAGUGCAUUCGGGUGCCGAAAUGCACCCGUUUUGCAUCGUUUUUCGUGCCGGAACCGAAUGCCAAAAACACUCCCAAACAUGUUCUAGUGCUAUAAUUAGGAAGAUUGCAUGCGUUCGUUGCGAAAAAAUCCACCCGAGUUUCGCUACCCGGAAUAGUGCAUUCGGGUGCCGAAAUGCACCCGUUUUGCAUCAGUUUUUCGUGCCGGAACCGAAUGCCCAAAAACACUCCCAAACAUGUUCUAGUGCUAUAUUAGGAAGAUUGCAUGCGUUCGUUGCGAAAAAAUCCACCCGAGUUUCGCUACCCGGCAAUAGUGCAUUCGGGUGCCGAAAUGCACCCGUUUUGCAUCAGUUUUUCGUGCCGGAACCGAAUGCCCAAAAACACUCCCAAACAUGUUCUAGUGCAUAUUAGGAAGAUUGCAUGCGUUCGUUGCGAAAAAAUCCACCCGAGUUUCGCUACCCGGCAAUAGUGCAUUCGGGUGCCGAAAUGCACCCGUUUUGCAUCGUUUUUCGUGCCGGAACCGAAUGCCCAAAAACACUCCCAAACAUGUUCUAGUGCAUAUUUAGGAAGAUUGCAUGCGUUCGUUGCGAAAAAAUCCACCCGAGUUUCGCUACCCGGAAAUAGUGCAUUCGGGUGCCGAAAUGCACCCGUUUUGCAUCGUUUUUCGUGCCGGAACCGAAUGCCCAAAAACACUCCCAAACAUGUUCUAGUGCAUAUUUAGGAAGAUUGCAUGCGUUCGUUGCGAAAAAAUCCACCCGAGUUUCGCUACCCGGCAAUAGUGCAUUCGGGUGCCGAAAUGCACCCGUUUUGCAUCGUUUUUCGUGCCGGAACCGAAUGCCCAAAAACACUCCCAAACAUGUUCUAGUGCAUAUUUAGGAAGAUUGCAUGCGUUCGUUGCGAAAAAAUCCACCCGAGUUUCGCUACCCGGAAAUAGUGCAUUCGGGUGCCGAAAUGCACCCGUUUUGCAUCGUUUUUCGUGCCGGAACCGAAUGCCCAAAAACACUCCCAAACAUGUUCUAGUGUAUAAUUAGGAAGAUUGCAUGCGUUCGUUGCGAAAAAAUCCACCCGAGUUUCGCUACCCGGAAAUAGUGCAUUCGGGUGCCGAAAUGCACCCGUUUUGCAUCAUUUUUCGUGCCGGAACCGAAUGCCAAAAACACUCCCAAACAUGUUCUAGUGUAUAAUUAGGAAGAUUGCAUGCGUUCGUUGCGAAAAAAUCCACCCGAGUUUCGCUACCCGGAAAUAGUGCAUUCGGGUGCCGAAAUGCACCCGUUUUGCAUCGUUUUUCGUGCCGGAACCGAAUGCCCAAAAACACUCCCAAACAUGUUCUAGUGUAUAAUUAGGAAGAUUGCAUGCGUUCGUUGCGAAAAAAUCCACCCGAGUUUCGCUACCCGGAAUAGUGCAUUCGGGUGCCGAAAUGCACCCGUUUUGCAUCGUUUUUCGUGCCGGAACCGAAUGCUCAAAAACACUCCCAAACAUGUUCUAGUGCUAUAUUAGGAAGAUUGCAUGCGUUCGUUGCGAAAAAAUCCACCCGAGUUUCGCUACCCGGCAAUAGUGCAUUCGGGUGCCGAAAUGCACCCGUUUUGCAUCAUUUUUCGUGCCGGAACCGAAUGCCCAAAAACACUCCCAAACAUGUUCUAGGUCAUAUUUAGGAAGAUUGCAUGCGUUCGUUGCGAAAAAAUCCACCCGAGUUUCGCUACCCGGCAAUAGUGCAUUCGGGUGCCGAAAUGCACCCGUUUUGCAUCAUUUUUCGUGCCGGAACCGAAUGCCCAAAAACACUCCCAAACAUGUUCUAGUGUCAUAUUUAGGAAGAUUGCAUGCGUUCGUUGCGAAAAAAUCCACCCGAGUUUCGCUACCCGGCAAUAGUGCAUUCGGGUGCCGAAAUGCACCCGUUUUGCAUCAUUUUUCGUGCCGGAACCGAAUGCCCAAAAACACUCCCAAACAUGUUCUAGUGCAUAUUUAGGAAGAUUGCAUGCGUUCGUUGCGAAAAAAUCCACCCGAGUUUCGCUACCCGGCAAUAGUGCAUUCGGGUGCCGAAAUGCACCCGUUUUGCAUCGUUUUUCGUGCCGGAACCGAAUGCCCAAAAACACUCCCAAACAUGUUCUAGUGCUAUAUUUAGGAAGAUUGCAUGCGUUCGUUGCGAAAAAAUCCACCCGAGUUUCGCUACCCGGCAAUAGUGCAUUCGGGUGCCGAAAUGCACCCGUUUUGCAUCAUUUUUCGUGCCGGAACCGAAUGCCCAAAAACACUCCCAAACAUGUUCUAGUGCAUAUUUAGGAAGAUUGCAUGCGUUCGUUGCGAAAAAAUCCACCCGAGUUUCGCUACCCGGCAAUAGUGCAUUCGGGUGCCGAAAUGCACCCGUUUUGCAUCAUUUUUCGUGCCGGAACCGAAUGCCCAAAAACACUCCCAAACAUGUUCUAGUGCUAUAUUAGGAAGAUUGCAUGCGUUCGUUGCGAAAAAAUCCACCCGAGUUUCGCUACCCGGCAAUAGUGCAUUCGGGUGCCGAAAUGCACCCGUUUUGCAUCGUUUUUCGUGCCGGAACCGAAUGCCCAAAAACACUCCCAAACAUGUUCUAGUGCUAUAUUAGGAAGAUUGCAUGCGUUCGUUGCGAAAAAAUCCACCCGAGUUUCGCUACCCGGAAAUAGUGCAUUCGGGUGCCGAAAUGCACCCGUUUUGCAUCGUUUUUCGUGCCGGAACCGAAUGCCAAAAACACUCCCAAACAUGUUCUAGUGCUAUAUUAGGAAGAUUGCAUGCGUUCGUUGCGAAAAAAUCCACCCGAGUUUCGCUACCCGGCAAUAGUGCAUUCGGGUGCCGAAAUGCACCCGUUUUGCAUCAUUUUUCGUGCCGGAACCGAAUGCCCAAAAACACUCCCAAACAUGUUCUAGUGCAUAUUAGGAAGAUUGCAUGCGUUCGUUGCGAAAAAAUCCACCCGAGUUUCGCUACCCGGCAAUAGUGCAUUCGGGUGCCGAAAUGCACCCGUUUUGCAUCGUUUUUCGUGCCGGAACCGAAUGCCCAAAAACACUCCCAAACAUGUUCUAGUGUAUAAUUAGGAAGAUUGCAUGCGUUCGUUGCGAAAAAAUCCACCCGAGUUUCGCUACCCGGAAAUAGUGCAUUCGGGUGCCGAAAUGCACCCGUUUUGCAUCAGUUUUUCGUGCCGGAACCGAAUGCCCAAAAACACUCCCAAACAUGUUCUAGUGUAUAUUAGGAAGAUUGCAUGCGUUCGUUGCGAAAAAAUCCACCCGAGUUUCGCUACCCGGAAAUAGUGCAUUCGGGUGCCGAAAUGCACCCGUUUUGCAUCAUUUUUCGUGCCGGAACCGAAUGCCCAAAAACACUCCCAAACAUGUUCUAGUGCUAUAUUAGGAAGAUUGCAUGCGUUCGUUGCGAAAAAAUCCACCCGAGUUUCGCUACCCGGCAAUAGUGCAUUCGGUGCCGAAAUGCACCCGUUUUGCAUCGUUUUUCGUGCCGGAACCGAAUGCCCAAAAACACUCCCAAACAUGUUCUAGUGCAUAUUUAGGAAGAUUGCAUGCGUUCGUUGCGAAAAAAUCCACCGAGUUUCGCUACCCGGAAAUAGUGCAUUCGGGUGCCGAAAUGCACCCGUUUUGCAUCGUUUUUCGUGCCGGAACCGAAUGCCCAAAAACACUCCCAAACAUGUUCUAGUGCAUAUUAGGAAGAUUGCAUGCGUUCGUUGCGAAAAAAUCCACCCGAGUUUCGCUACCCGGCAAUAGUGCAUUCGGGUGCCGAAAUGCACCCGUUUUGCAUCAUUUUUCGUGCCGGAACCGAAUGCCCAAAAACACUCCCAAACAUGUUCUAGGUCAUAUUAGGAAGAUUGCAUGCGUUCGUUGCGAAAAAAUCCACCCGAGUUUCGCUACCCGGCAAUAGUGCAUUCGGGUGCCGAAAUGCACCCGUUUUGCAUCGUUUUUCGUGCCGGAACCGAAUGCCCAAAAACACUCCCAAACAUGUUCUAGGGUCUAAUUAGGAAGAUUGCAUGCGUUCGUUGCGAAAAAAUCCACCCGAGUUUCGCUACCCGGCAAUAGUGCAUUCGGGUGCCGAAAUGCACCCGUUUUGCAUCAUUUUUCGUGCCGGAACCGAAUGCCCAAAAACACUCCCAAACAUGUUCUAGUGCAUAUUUAGGAAGAUUGCAUGCGUUCGUUACGAAAAAAUCCACCCGAGUUUCGCUACCCGGCAAUAGUGCAUUCGGGUGCCGAAAUGCACCCGUUUUGCAUCGUUUUUCAGUGCCGGAACCGAAUGCCCAAAAACACUCCCAAACAUGUUCUAGUGCAUAUUUAGGAAGAUUGCAUGCGUUCGUUGCGAAAAAAUCCACUCGAGUUUCGCUACCCGGAAAUAGUGCAUUCGGGUGCCGAAAUGCACCCGUUUUGCAUCGUUUUUCGUGCCGGAACCGAAUGCCAAAAAACACUCCCAAACAUGUUCUAGUGCAUAUUUAGGAAGAUUGCAUGCGUUCGUUACGAAAAAAUCCACCCGAGUUUCGCUACCCGGCAAUAGUGCAUUCGGGUGCCGAAAUGCACCCGUUUUGCAUCAUUUUUCGUGCCAGAACCAAAUGCGCAAAAACACUCCCAAACAUGUUCUAAGUGCAUAUUUAGGAAGAUUGCAUGCGUUCGUUGUGAAAAAAUCCACCCGAGUUUCGCUACCCGGCAAUAGUGCAUUCGGGUGCCGAAAUGCACCCGUUUUGCAUCAGUUUUUCGUGUCGGAACCGAAUGCCCAAAGACACUCCCAAACAUGUUCUAGUGCAUAUUUAGGAAGAUUGCAUGCGUUCGUUACGAAAAAAUCCACCCGAGUUUCGCUACCCGGCAAUAGUGCAUUAAGGUGCCGAAAUGCACCCAGUUUGCAUCGUUUUUCAUGCCGGAACCGAAUGCCCAAAAACACUCCCAAACAUGUUCUAGUGCAUAUUUAGGAAGAUUGCAUGCGUUCGUUGCGAAAAAAUCCACCCGAGUUUCGCUACCCGGAAAUAGUGCAUUCGGGUGCCGAAAUGCACCCGUUUUGCAUCGUUUUUCGUGCCGGAACCGAAUGCCAAAAACUACUCCCAAACAUGUUCUAGUGCAUAUUUAGGAAGAUUGCAUGCGUUCGUUACGAAAAAAUCCACCCGAGUUUCGCUACCCGGCAAUAGUGCAUUCGGGUGCCGAAAUGCACCCGUUUUGCAUCAUUUUUCGUGCCGGAACCGAAUGCCCAAAAACACUCCCAAACAUGUUCUAGGCAUAUUUAGGAAGAUUGCAUGCGUUCGUUGCGAAAAAAUCCACCCGAGUUUCGCUACCCGGCAAUAGUGCAUUCGGGUGCCGAAAUGCACCCGUUUUGCAUCGUUUUUCGUGCCGGAACCGAAUGCCCAAAAACACUCCCAAACAUGUUCUAGGGUCUAAUUAGGAAGAUUGCAUGCGUUCGUUGCGAAAAAAUCCACCCGAGUUUCGCUACCCGGCAAUAGUGCAUUCGGGUGCCGAAAUGCACCCGUUUUGCAUCAUUUUUCGUGCCGGAACCGAAUGCCCAAAAACACUCCCAAACAUGUUCUAGUGCAUAUUUAGGAAGAUUGCAUGCGUUCGUUGCGAAAAAAUCCACCCGAGUUUCGCUACCCGGCAAUAGUGCAUUCGGGUGCCGAAAUGCACCCGUUUUGCAUCGUUUUUCGUGCCGGAACCGAAUGCCCAAAAACACUCCCAAACAUGUUCUAGUGCAUAUUUAGGAAGAUUGCAUGCGUUCGUUGCGAAAAAAUCCACCCGAGUUUCGCUACCCGGAAAUAGUGCAUUCGGGUGCCGAAAUGCACCCGUUUUGCAUCGUUUUUCGUGCCGGAACCGAAUGCCAAAAAACACUCCCAAACAUGUUCUAGUGCAUAUUUAGGAAGAUUGCAUGCGUUCGUUGCGAAAAAAUCCACCCGAGUUUCGCUACCCGGCAAUAGUGCAUUCGGGUGCCGAAAUGCACCCGUUUUGCAUCAGUUUUUCGUGCCGGAACCGAAUGCCCAAAAACACUCCCAAACAUGUUCUAGUGCAUAUUAGGAAGAUUGCAUGCGUUCGUUGCGAAAAAAUCCACCCGAGUUUCGCUACCCGGCAAUAGUGCAUUCGGGUGCCGAAAUGCACCCGUUUUGCAUCAUUUUUCGUGCCGGAACCGAAUGCCCAAAAACACUCCCAAACAUGUUCUAGUGCAUAUUUAGGAAGAUUGCAUGCGUUCGUUGCGAAAAAAUCCACCCGAGUUUCGCUACCCGGCAAUAGUGCAUUCGGGUGCCGAAAUGCACCCGUUUUGCAUCAUUUUUCGUGCCGGAACCGAAUGCCCAAAAACACUCCCAAACAUGUUCUAGUGCAUAUUUAGGAAGAUUGCAUGCGUUCGUUGCGAAAAAAUCCACCCGAGUUUCGCUACCCGGCAAUAGUGCAUUCGGGUGCCGAAAUGCACCCGUUUUGCAUCGUUUUUCGUGCCGGAACCGAAUGCCAAAAAACACUCCCAAACAUGUUCUAGUGCAUAUUUAGGAAGAUUGCAUGCGUUCGUUAGCGAAAAAAUCCACCCGAGUUUCGCUACCCGGCAAUAGUGCAUUCGGGUGCCGAAAUGCACCCGUUUUGCAUCGUUUUUCGUGCCGGAACCGAAUGCCCAAAAACACUCCCAAACAUGUUCUAGUGUCUAAUUAGGAAGAUUGCAUGCGUUCGUUGCGAAAAAAUCCACCCGAGUUUCGCUACCCGGCAAUAGUGCAUUCGGGUGCCGAAAUGCACCCGUUUUGCAUCAUUUUUCGUGCCGGAACCGAAUGCCCAAAAACACUCCCAAACAUGUUCUAGUGCAUAUUUAGGAAGAUUGCAUGCGUUCGUUACGAAAAAAUCCACCCGAGUUUCGCUACCCGGCAAUAGUGCAUUCGGGUGCCGAAAUGCACCCAGUUUUGCAUCGUUUUUCAGUGCCGGAACCGAAUGCCCAAAAACACUCCCAAACAUGUUCUAGUGCAUAUUUAGGAAGAUUGCAUGCGUUCGUUGCGAAAAAAUCCACCCGAGUUUCGCUACCCGGAAAUAGUGCAUUCGGGUGCCGAAAUGCACCCGUUUUGCAUCGUUUUUCGUGCCGGAACCGAAUGCCAAAAAACACUCCCAAACAUGUUCUAGUGCAUAUUUAGGAAGAUUGCAUGCGUUCGUUGCGAAAAAAUCCACCCGAGUUUCGCUACCCGGCAAUAGUGCAUUCGGGUGCCGAAAUGCACCCGUUUUGCAUCAUUUUUCGUGCCGAACCGAAUGCCCAAAAACACUCCCAAACAUGUUCUAGUGCAUAUUUAGGAAGAUUGCAUGCGUUCGUUGCGAAAAAAUCCACCCGAGUUUCGCUACCCGGCAAUAGUGCAUUCGGGUGCCGAAAUGCACCCGUUUUGCAUCGUUUUUCGUGCCGGAACCGAAUGCCCAAAAACACUCCCAAACAUGUUCUAGUGCAUAUUUAGGAAGAUUGCAUGCGUUCGUUGCGAAAAAAUCCACCCGAGUUUCGCUACCCGGCAAUAGUGCAUUCGGGUGCCGAAAUGCACCCGUUUUGCAUCAUUUUUCGUGCCGGAACCGAAUGCCCAAAAACACUCCCAAACAUGUUCUAGUGCAUAUUUAGGAAGAUUGCAUGCGUUCGUUGCGAAAAAAUCCACCCGAGUUUCGCUACCCGGCAAUAGUGCAUUCGGGUGCCGAAAUGCACCCGUUUUGCAUCGUUUUUCGUGCCGGAACCGAAUGCCAAAAAACACUCCCAAACAUGUUCUAGUGCAUAUUUAGGAAGAUUGCAUGCGUUCGUUGCGAAAAAAUCCACCCGAGUUUCGCUACCCGGCAAUAGUGCAUUCGGGUGCCGAAAUGCACCCGUUUUGCAUCAUUUUUCGUGCCAGGAACCAAAUGCCCAAAAACACUCCCAAACAUGUUCUAGGCAUAUUUAGGAAGAUUGCAUGCGUUCGUUGCGAAAAAAUCCACCCGAGUUUCGCUACCCGGCAAUAGUGCAUUCGGGUGCCGAAAUGCACCCGUUUUGCAUCAUUUUUCGUGCCGGAACCGAAUGCCCAAAAACACUCCCAAACAUGUUCUAGUGCAUAUUUAGGAAGAUUGCAUGCGUUCGUUGCGAAAAAAUCCACCCGAGUUUCGCUACCCGGCAAUAGUGCAUUAAGGUGCCGAAAUGCACCCGUUUUGCAUCGUUUUUCGUGCCGGAACCGAAUGCCCAAAAACACUCCCAAACAUGUUCUAGUGCAUAUUUAGGAAGAUUGCAUGCGUUCGUUGCGAAAAAAUCCACCCGAGUUUCGCUACCCGGAAAUAGUGCAUUCGGGUGCCGAAAUGCACCCGUUUUGCAUCGUUUUUCGUGCCGGAACCGAAUGCCAAAAACACUCCCAAACAUGUUCUAGUGCAUAUUUAGGAAGAUUGCAUGCGUUCGUUGCGAAAAAAUCCACCCGAGUUUCGCUACCCGGCAAUAGUGCAUUCGGGUGCCGAAA